rnacentral:rRNA from 1 species
AUACGGAGGGUGCAAACGUUGUUCGGAAUUACUGGGCGUAAAGCGCGCGUAGGCGGUUUGUUAAGUCAGAUGGGAAAGUCCACAGCUCAACUGUGGAAGUGCAUUUGAAACUGGCAGACUUGAGUACUGGAGGGGGUGGUGGAAUUCCCGGUGUAGAGGUGAAAUUCGUAGAUAUCGGGAGGAAUACCGGUGGCGAAGGCGACCACCUGGCCAGAUACUGACGCUGAGGUGCGAAAGCGUGGGGAGCAAACAGGAUUAGAAACCCUAGUAGUCC